CUUGUACACACCGCCCGUCACACCAUGGGAGCGGGUUCUGCCAGAAGUAGUUAGCCUAACCGCAAGGAGGGCGAUUACCACGGCAGGGUUACGUGACUGGGGUG
rnacentral:rRNA from 1 species